AGUUUUGCUAAAUCAUGUUCUUCUUCGAUUAGGAUACAGAAAAAUGAAGAAGAUACGUUCUCUAAUUCUUUUUCUUUGUUUACUUAUUGAAUUGCUUUACAAUUGAUCCAAUUCUCUCUUCACAGAUGCUUAUGCUAUUUUAAUUCAUAUUUGAUACUCUAAUUUCAAUUAUUCGAGCUUAUUUCUAUGAUAGAUAUCAUGAUAAGUUGAAAUCCAAUUAUUAUCAUCAUUAUUCUAGCUGAGGAUCCAGUUUUAAACAGGUUCAUAAGACAGGUGGUUGCAAAAUUACAUAAGCAGGAUUGUUAAUGGAGGAUGCACAUGAAGUGUUCGAUCAAAUGACUGAGCAAAAUCAAACCAAUCUAAGUAGUGGAAUUACAGAGUCAGCUUUUUCCUGAUGCUUCAGAGAUACUCCUUAAAGAAGGCUGCCAUGAUUGUCUUGAUCUUGUAGUUAUUGGUAGAGAGUUUGCCAUAUCUUGUUGAAUGAAAGAAAUUUACAUACCUGUGUGGGUUUUGUAUCAGGUAUCUUCUUGUGAUUUACUGUGUUUGAUUCCAAUUGUUUAUUCUUCAGCUUGGCAUGUUUCUUGGCCAAUUCUUUCAUUACCUCUGUUGAAAGGAGGAGGAGUAAGGUAAGAACUAAGAGUCAUAUAUGUAUGUAUAUUACUGAACUAGUAUGAAAUGAACAAUUGGAGAUAGAAGAUUGAACCUUGAGUGGUGAUGAGCCUGUAAGUAUGGCCAAGGAUAAGGGUAUCAGUUGGCCGGAGUAGUUUAAUUCGAGUAAUUCGAACAGUAGAAGUGGUGGUGGUGGUGGUGGAAGGAGGUGGAGAUAGGAGGAGAAGAGCAACACAGUGGCCGGAGUUCAUUUUCAUGACUUCACUAGCAGCAAUAGGCCAAUACAUCUUCUCCACUUUACCACCUGGGUGUUGUAUCACUAGGGUUGCUUCAUCAAUGGUCUGACAAUUACCCAUUCUCUAUCUCUCUAAGAUGAAGAAGAUGAACAGGUUGCAGGGUGGUGUUGUGGUGGGAUGGAUGGAUGGAUGGGGAAGAAGGGAUGAAAUAAGGUUGAGUUGAGUGUGGGGGACCAAUGGAGACGACAAGGUUUGCAGACUUAAUAAUAUAUAUAGCAAAAUGAUGAUUUUCCUUAAUUUUCUAUUCUUUAAUCUCUGAAAUCACCAUUUUAGACUCCAUGUUUUUAUGUAUGGCAGGCGGCUUUUCUUGCAUAGAAGCGGCCGGGGUUAAGAGGCCUGCAAGGCUUUGUCAGAGAAAAUACAAAUAAUUUUAUUGGAGUUGUCAGUCCCUGACGUGGACACACGUGCUUUGCCCCCCAUAUACCAGAUCAGACGACGAACAUCGAUCUUCUACUCCUACCUUCACGCCACCUUUUAAUAGAAAGUAAAUUUAACUUGGUUGUCAUACCUAUUUUCAUAUUAAAUAAUAAAGCUAGUUGCUAUCACUUGUGUAGUUUUUUUUUGGCUAGAGGAGGUUAUCCCACAACUAUG